rnacentral:rRNA from 1 species
GAUGAACGCUGGCGGCGUGCCUAAUACAUGCAAGUCGAGCGAACGGACGAGAAGCUUGUUUCUCUGAUGUUAGCGGCGGACGGGUGAGUAACACGUGGAUAACCUACCUAUAAGACUGGGAUAACUUCGGGAAACCGGUGCUAAUACCGGAUCAUAUUUUGAACCGCAUGGUUCAAAAGUGAAAGACGGUCUUGCUGUCUCUUAUAGAUGGAUCCGCGUUGCAUUCGUUAGUUGGUAAGGUAACGGCUUACCAAGGCAACGGUGCAUAGCCGACCUGAGAGGGUGGACGGCCACACUGGAACUUGAGCACGGUCCAAGCCCCUACGGGAGGCAGCAGUAGGGAAUCUUCCGCAAUGGGCGAAAGCCUGACGGAGCAACGCCGCGUGAGUGAUGAAGGUCUUCGGAUCGUAAAACUCUGUUAUUAGGGAAAAACAUAUGUGUAAGUAACUGUGCACAUCUUGACGGUACCUAAUCAGAAAGCCACGGCUAACUACGUG